rnacentral:rRNA from 1 species
AUGGAGAUCAAGAUCAAGCUCCGUAUCCCCGAUGCGGCUGCACAUCGGCGCCUCUCCUCCUUCCUCGUGCCCCGCCUGCUCCGCACCGACGCCCCCGCGCGGCCCCUCGCCGCCGCUGCCGCCACCGCCACCGCCGCCCAGCGGGACGUCCGCCUCUACGGCACCGACGACUGCGACCCCUCCUGCGCCGUCCUCACGCUCAAGCCGCCCCCACGCAUCGACGCCGGCGUCAGCCGCGUUGAGGAGGUCGUGGAGCCCCUCGACCCUGCCCUCGCCCUCACCUGCGUUGACAACCCCGCCUGUCUCGGCGCGGUUGACUCCCCCAUCAUCCGGCUCAUCUCCGACGAGUACGGCGUCGGCGGGUACAAAGCGCCGUUCAUCUGCCUCGGCGGCUUCCGGAACACCCGCGGUGUGUAUGAGCUCGAGGAGGGCGAGGGGCAGGGGCUCGUGCUAGAGCUCGACGAGACACACUUCCAUUUUGGCACAAACUACGAGCUGGAGUGCGAGACCGCGGAGCCCGACCAGGCCAAGGAGGUCCUGGAGCGGCUGCUCACCAUGGUUGGGGUGCCGUAUGAGUACUCUCGGAGCAAUAAGUUCGCAUGCUUCAUGGCCGGGAAGCUGCUUCUGUGA